GACGAACGCUGGCGGCGCGCCUAACACAUGCAAGUCGAACGAGCAAAGAGGAGCUUGCUUCUCUGAGCGAGUGGCGAACGGGUGAGUAACGCGUGAGGAACCUGCCUCAAAGAGGGGGACAACAGUUGGAAACGACUGCUAAUACCGCAUAAGUCCACGGGUCGGCAUCGACCAGAGGGAAAAGGAGCAAUCCGCUUUGAGAUGGCCUCGCGUCCGAUUAGCUAGUUGGUGAGGUAACGGCCCACCAAGGCAACGAUCGGUAGCCGGACUGAGAGGUUGAACGGCCACAUUGGGACUGAGACACGGCCCAGACUCCUACGGGAGGCAGCAGUGGGGAAUAUUGCACAAUGGGGGAAACCCUGAUGCAGCGACGCCGCGUGGAGGAAGAAGGGUCUUCGGAUUGUAAACUCCUGUUGUUGAGGAAGAUAAUGACGGUACUCAACAAGGAAGUGACGGCUAACUACGUGCCAGCAGCCGCAGU
rnacentral:rRNA from 1 species